rnacentral:misc_RNA from 1 species
UUUUUAGCGGAAGAAAAUAAAGUAGAAAUAACGACCUAACUUUUAUAUAAAAAAAUAUAAUACAUACGUUUAAUUAAAACUAAAAUAUAAAUAUGUAUAUCAUCACUCUUAUUACAUUAGAGACGAAAAAUAUGAUAAAAAUAAGAAAAAAGAAAAAUAAAUAAGAAAACUGUAUUGGUUUCUACGACUUACUUCCACAUGUGGAAUAGUCUAUCUGGUUGCCGUUUGACCCAUCCUAGAGACAGAAUAAAGUUAUUAGUUUAAAAUAAGCCACAGAAAGUUUUUAAUUCAUAAAAUUUACAGGUAUAAAGUAUUUAUCCUGAAUAAAUUCUUUUUAUAAAAAAUUGCAAGUCAACUUUCGAAUAACCAGAUUUUAUAUUUUAUCUAGCAACUAGCACUUCUUACCAAUUGCACAAACACUUGAUAAACACAAAAAUUGUAACGUUUAAAUAGGUAACUAUUUCGUAG